rnacentral:rRNA from 1 species
GACGAACGCUGGCGGCGUGCCUAAUACAUGCAAGUAGAACGCUGAAGAGAGGAGCUUACUCUUCUUGGAUGAGUUGCGAACGGGUGAGUAACGCGUAGGUAACCUGCCUUGUAGCGGGGGAUAACUAUUGGAAACGAUAGCUAAUGCCGCAUAACAAUGGAUGACACAUGUCAUUUAUUUGAAAGGGGCAAUUGCUCCACUACAAGAUGGACCUGCGUUGUAUUAGCUAGUAGGUGAGGUAAUGGCUCACCUAGGCGACGAUACAUAGCCGACCUGAGAGGGUGAUCUGCCAAACUGGGACUGAGACACGGCCCAGACUCCUACGGGAGGCAGCAGUAGGGAAUCUUCGGCAAUGGGGGCAACCCUGACCGAGCAACGCCGCGGGAGUGAAAAAGGUUUUCGGAUCGUAAAGCUCUGUUGUAAGUCAAGAACGGGUGUGAGAGUGGAAAGUUCACACUGUGACGGUAGCUUACCAGAAAGGGACGGCUAACUACGUG